UUUGUUGCAAGAUAACAAAGUUGUGCUAUAAUUUUUUCGUCGAAAGACUAUGAUAAUAAAUAUCGUGCGUAAUAGAUGCGAUGGACUCGGGGGCAGUACCCGACACCUCCACCACAGGAAGCUAGGGGGGUGAAAUAGCAUUGACAUUCAUCGAAAGGUACCGGUUUUAUCCAGCAAGAUACAGCUGUCGCGAAAGCGAAGAUAGUUCGAAAAAUUAAAUGCAAAAGAUAAUUUUGCUAAUGUUGCACUGGCUGCGUAGAUCUUAGGAUAGGUAUUUCGUAGAAAUACCUCCACCUAGCGGUGGCUAGCCGGGCAACGGGGCUGGAGGGAGCCUGUCAACAGAAUCCCUCCAAA
rnacentral:tmRNA from 1 species